AUGCGCACAGGAUCCGGCUCCGGAGGCGGACCCUGGCUGCCAUCUUGCAGUGCGCGGGAACCGCCGCCGCCGCUGGCCAAAAAGCGGAGGCCAGGGGAAGCGUGUCCUGCUCAGACCGCCUUCCUCCUCCAUUGCCACCCGUGCCGAACAGCCAGGCUGCCCAACUGCAACUGUAGACCAAUGAACUAAUCCAUCGCCCGCAGCCCGACUCUCAGCAGCGGUUCGUCCCGGUGCCCACCCCCGCGAAGCGGAGCGCCCGGGCACCUAGCCUCCCUGCCGGCCACGAUGCCGAACGUGCUGCUGCCGCCCAAGGAGAGCAACCUCUUCAAACGCAUCUUGAAAUGUUAUGAACAGAAGCAGUACAAAAAUGGCCUCAAGUUUUGCAAGAUGAUUCUGUCGAACCCAAAAUUUGCUGAACAUGGAGAGACUUUGGCUAUGAAAGGAUUAACACUGAACUGUUUAGGAAAAAAAGAAGAAGCUUAUGAAUUUGUUCGUAAAGGACUUCGUAAUGAUGUCAAGAGUCAUGUCUGUUGGCAUGUAUAUGGACUCUUGCAGCGUUCUGAUAAAAAAUAUGAUGAAGCUAUAAAAUGUUACCGAAAUGCCCUCAAAUUAGAUAAAGAUAACCUGCAAAUUUUGAGGGAUCUCUCACUGUUGCAGAUCCAAAUGAGAGACCUUGAAGGUUACCGAGAGACAAGAUACCAGCUUCUUCAGUUGCGCCCCACACAGCGUGCCUCCUGGAUUGGAUAUGCUAUUGCAUACCAUUUGCUGAAAGAUUAUGAUAUGGCCCUAAAACUGUUGGAAGAAUUUAGACAAACUCAGCAAGUUCCUCCGAACAAAAUAGAUUAUGAAUAUAGUGAACUGAUAUUAUACCAGAAUCAAGUGAUGAGAGAGGCAGAUCUGUUUCAGGAAUCUUUGGAACAUAUAGAAACAUAUGAGAAACAAAUAUGUGAUAAACUUUUGGUGGAAGAAAUUAAAGGGGAAAUACUGUUGAAAUUGGGAAGAUUAAAAGAAGCCAGUGAAGUGUUCAAAAACUUGAUUGAUCGGAAUGCAGAAAAUUGGUGUUAUUAUGAAGGCUUGGAAAAAGCUCUACAAAUUAGCACUUUAGAAGAGAGGCUUCAAAUUUAUGAAGAAAUUAGUAAGCAGCACCCCAAAGCAAUUACACCCAGAAGAUUACCUUUGACUCUUGUCCCAGGUGAAAGAUUUAGAGAACUAAUGGAUAAGUUCCUGAGGGUUAACUUCAGUAAAGGCUGCCCACCCUUGUUUACUACUUUGAAAUCUUUAUAUUACAAUACAGAAAAGGUUUCUAUAAUCCAGGAACUUGUUACUAAUUAUGAAGCCUCUCUUAAAACGUGUGACUUUUUUAGCCCAUAUGAGAAUGGGGAGAAGGAACCCCCAACAACACUACUCUGGGUUCAGUAUUUCCUGGCACAGCACUUUGAUAAACUUGGACAGUAUUCUUUGGCUUUGGAUUAUAUUAAUGCUGCAAUUGCUAGUACUCCAACUCUAAUAGAAUUAUUCUAUAUGAAAGCAAAAAUUUACAAGCAUAUAGGUAAUCUCAAAGAAGCUGCAAAGUGGAUGGAUGAAGCACAGUCUUUGGACACAGCUGAUAGAUUCAUCAAUUCCAAAUGUGCAAAAUACAUGCUUCGAGCAAAUAUGAUAAAAGAAGCAGAGGAAAUGUGCUCCAAGUUCACAAGGGAAGGAACAUCUGCCAUGGAAAAUCUAAAUGAAAUGCAGUGUAUGUGGUUUCAGACAGAAUGCAUUUCAGCUUAUCAGCGUCUGGGGAGAUACGGGGAUGCCUUGAAAAAAUGUCAUGAAGUAGAAAGGCACUCUCCUUCCACAUGGACCACAGGAGGAAAAGAGCCGCAAAUGCACCCCUGAGGCAGUCCUCAGCAGCCCUCAGUUGUGGGGGCAAUCGGCACCACUGUUCCCAUCCUGACGCAGUAUAGAACCACAGGCAUCGUAGUCAGCAUUUUUUUGAGAUAACUGAUGACCAAUUCGACUUCCAUACAUACUGCAUGAGAAAGAUGACCCUUCGUGCCUAUGUUGACCUUUUGAGAUUAGAAGAUAUACUCAGAAGACAUGCCUUUUAUUUCAAGGCUGCUAGAUCAGCGAUUGAAAUAUACUUGAAAUUGUAUGAUAAUCCCUUAACCAGUGAAAGCAAACAACAAGAAAUAAACUCAGAAAACUUGUCAGCCAAAGAAUUGAAGAAAAUGCUUAGCAAGCAGAGAAGAGCUCAGAAAAAGGCUAAACUAGAAGAAGAAAGAAAGCAUGCAGAAAGAGAACGUCAACAGAAAAAUCAAAAGAAAAAAAGAGAUGAAGAAGAAGAAGAAGCCAGUGGCCUUAAGGAAGAACUUAUACCUGAAAAAUUAGAAAGGGUAGAAAAUCCAUUAGAGGAAGCCGUUAAGUUCCUUAUACCUCUUAAGAACCUUGUUGCUGAUAACAUUGACACUCAUCUGUUAGCAUUUGAAAUAUAUUUUAGAAAAGGAAAGUUUCUGUUAAUGCUGCAGUCUGUCAAACGAGCUUUUGCUAUUAACAGUAAUAACCCAUGGUUACAUGAAUGUUUAAUUAGAUUUUCUAAAUCUGUGUCUAAUCAUAGUAAUCUUCCAGACAUUGUGAGCAAAGUUCUAUCUCAAGAAAUGCAGAAAAUAUUUGUCAAAAAGGAUUUGGAGAGUUUUAAUGAGGAUUUUCUGAAACGUAACGCUACCUCUCUUCAGCAUCUACUUUCAGGUGCUAAAAUGAUGUAUUUUCUGGACAAGUCAAGGCAGGAGAAAGCAAUUGCUAUAGCCACUAGACUAGAUGAAACUAUAAAAGAUAAAGAUGUAAAGACAUUAAUAAAGGUUUCUGAAGCACUGCUUGAUGGCAGCUUUGGGAACUGUAGUUCCCAAUAUGAAGAAUAUAGGAUGGCCUGUCAUAACCUGCUUCCUUUUACAUCUGCCUUCUUGCCUGCUGUGAAUGAAGUCGACAAUCCUAUUGUGGCACUGAACCAUACAGCUAAUUAUGAUGUCUUGGCAAAUGAAAUUUGAAAUCUUCUAGAAAGUAGACUCCUAUAGACUCAAAGCUGAAUUGAGAUCAGGGUUUCUUUUCCAGGGUGCAUUUUAAUAUACGUAUGAAAUGAAAUAUUUGGUUAGGAUUUUUAAAUGGCAUAUUCUGUAAGCUUAUUUUGUUCUUUACCCGACCUGCCAAUUUACAUAACCAUCUGUUAAAAUUACCUGUUUAUUCUUAAACAGUUUUGUGGUAGCUCCGAUCGCUUAUGAUAAUUUCUUACUAAGCUAAGUUGUAUACAACCCCACUGUAUUAUUUUCUUUAGAUUCUGAUUUCAGGAUCUGUGCUUUGAUUCCUUGUCUGUUUUAUCGUAUAUUUGCUUGCUUUUUAAUUAAAGCACAUCAGUUUUAAAGUGUUAACUAUAUGUUAAAAACAAUAUGGAGGCUGGGCGUGGUGGCUCACACCUGUAAUCCCAGCACUUUGGGAGGCCCAGACUGGCGGAUCACCUGAGGUCAGGAGAUCGAGAUCAGCCUGGCCAACGUGGUGAAACCCCUUCUCUACUGAAAAUACAAAAAUUAGCCAGACGUGAUGGCACGCACCUGUAAUCCCAGCUGCCCAGGAGCUGAGGCCGGAGAAUCGCUUGAACCUGGGAGGUGGAGGUUGCAGUGAGCCGAGAUCAUGCCACUGCACUCCAGCCUGGGCAACAGAGCAAGACUCUAUCUCGAAAAAAAGGAAUUCCUCUUGGCAGAUAUUGAAGUUUAUUUGAAAAUUUAAUUCGUCCUUUUUUCAUUGUAAUAUUUCAUGGUUUAUUAUUUCCUUUGUUGUAUUCAUGAAAAUGGUAUUUUCUGGUUGAAUAAGGGUACUCUAGUUUUAUGUAGAUGAAUUCAGAAUGUGAAGGCUGGUUUGCCUGUCAGUCAUGGAAAUUCACCGGUAAAAUUGUUGCAUAUUUCUCUCUCCCAGUCUUAAAAGCCCACAGGCAAGAAUUAAUGCUUUCUUAACUAAGUUACUUCGAGUGUUAACAAGUAGCUUAUACUGAGGUGUGCUUCAAGGGAGCAUUAUAGGGCAGAAAACAAAUUAAAAUGAAACGUUAUUAUAGCCAUGCAUUGACCAUUAAAUGCAUUUUUAUAUCUCGGCAAAAUGAAAUUUGAAACUCAUUAGUUUAACUCUUAAAACAUAGUGUUGUUAAACAGUAUUUUUGGGGGCGGGUGGAUAGCUUUUUGUUUUAUCUUGUACAGAAAACAGUAAUGGAAUCACUCAUGUUCAGAACCUUGUAAAUAUGUCUGUAAUAUUAAUGCUUCCCUUUAUUAAGACAAAUAUACAUUCAAAAAGGGAGAUUUUAUUUAGACACACAUUUUCUUUUCACCCUAAUCUAUUUAGAUUCAUACUUAUUGAGACGGGAAAAACUCACUGUAAAAUAAUGCCAACCUAGAUAAUGCUAUAAUAAAUUAUUUUGUACACAGUU